GAGUUUGAUCCUGGCUCAGGAUGAACGCUGGCGGCGUGCCUAAUACAUGCAAGUCGAACGAAACUUCUUUAUCACCGAGUGCUUGCACUCACCGGUAAAGGGUUGAGUGGCGAACGGGUGAGUAACACGUGGGCAACCUGCCCAAAAGAGGGGGAUAACACUUGGAAACAGGUGCUAAUACCGCAUAACCAUAGUUACCGCAUGGUAGCUAUGUAAAAGGUGGCUAUGCUACCGCUUUUGGAUGGGCCCGCGGCGCAUUAGCUAGUUGGUGGGGUAAAGGCUUACCAAGGCAAUGAUGCGUAGCCGAACUGAGAGGUUGAUCGGCCACAUUGGGACUGAGACACGGCCCAAACUCCUACGGGAGGCAGCAGUAGGGAAUCUUCCACAAUGGGCGAAAGCCUGAUGGAGCAACGCCGCGUGGGUGAAGAAGGUCUUCGGAUCGUAAAACCCUGUUGUUAGAGAAGAAAGUGCGUGAGAGUAACUGUUCACGUUUCGACGGUAUCUAACCAGAAAGCCACGGCUAACUACGUGCCAGCAGCCGCGGUAAUACGUAGGUGGCAAGCGUUAUCCGGAUUUAUUGGGCGUAAAGGGAACGCAGGCGGUCUUUUGAGUCUGAU
rnacentral:rRNA from 1 species